CGAAACCCUAAUUUAUAGAGCUCGGAAUCGAUCUCGCCGCCGCCGCCGUUUUGGAGCUCGGGCACUGGAGUCGCCGUAAUUUCUCGCCAGAGUUCCACCAAAGACCGACGUCUCCAUCCAUACCUCGCCGACGUUCCGGGAAGAGGAAGACGACGACCAGGACACUGACGUGAUCGCAUCGAGGAGACGAACACCGUCCACUACUCCGCCACAUCAGGAGAUCGUCGGAAUCGCCGCCACCUUCGACUUCCGGCCGUCACAGCCUCCCGUCGCCGGCCAUCUAUUGUUUUUCCGACUGCGAGGAGUGCAACGUCUGCGAUUGCAACGAGUGCGUGAACGAUUUCAACAACCAAGGCAAGUGGUGUUCAUAAAAGUCCUAUUGUUUUCCUAUGCAUUGUAGAUUGUCUUAUGUAGUUGCAUGUAUAGGAAAAUUGUUUUUCCGCCUUGCUUUGCUCCUAUGUUGUGUUCACUUGUGUCACUCCUUUGUCGCCAUCGUUGUAGAAUUGCUUAGCUAGCUCAGUAAAUGGGGUGGGAGUUCAUCAUCAAAUUUAUUGAGUUGUAGCUAUAUUUUUCUAUAAUUGAAAACAACUUUAAUUAAUGAAUUGUCUAGGCGGAUUGGCAUUGAUUGGGUCAUCGAGUGUUCGUCAUGGUGGGGAUUGCCGCCUAGGGUAUAAGAGAAAUAGAUUGGUGACUUGUUUGAAUGCUUACGUGUGUUACCGUAUGUCUGUUGAUAUGGGCUAUGACUGAGCUUAGUAGGUUGUGGUAGUUCAAAUCCAUCGUGGCCAGAAAUGUAGAAUAGUGUAGGUUGGUACGGCACGUGGGUGGUUUGUUCUACUACUUCUCCAAAAGCUUCGGCUUGGACUUCUUCCAACCUUUACACAAAAUGCGUGUACUGGUAAACGUGGACUGUCUGGGUCAUACGGGUAAAG